rnacentral:rRNA from 1 species
UACGAAGGGGGUUAGCGUUGCUCGGAAUCACUGGGCGUAAAGCGCACGUAGGCGGAUUGUUAAGUCAGGGGUGAAAUCCUGGAGCUCAACUCCAGAACUGCCUUUGAUACUGGCGAUCUUGAGUCCGGGAGAGGUGAGUGGAAUUGCGAGUGUAGAGGUGAAAUUCGUAGAUAUUCGCAAGAACACCAGUGGCGAAGGCGGCUCACUGGCCCGGUACUGACGCUGAGGUGCGAAAGCGUGGGGAGCAAACAGG